GCGCGAAAACUGCACAAUGUGGGAAACCACGAUGCGGGAAACCCAAGUGCCAGCGCUAUGCGUUGGCUGUCCUCCAGUGUUCGUAACUGGGGAAGAAAGUGCUGGGUAAGACGGGUGCCAGCCGCCGCGGUAAUACCCGCAGCACAAGUGGUGGUCAUUAUUAUUGGGCCUAAAGCGUCCGUAGCUGGCCUGUUAGAUGCCUGGGUAAAUCGAUGCGCUCAACGUAUCGAACUCCGGGUAGACCGGCAGGCUUGGGACCGGGAGAGGCGUGAGCUACUCGAGGGGUAGGGGUAAAAUCCUGUAAUCCUUCGGGGAGGACCAGUGGCGAAGGCGUCACGCUAGAACGGCUCCGACAGUGAGGGACGAAGCCCUGGGGCGCAAACCGG
rnacentral:rRNA from 1 species